CCGUAAGGUUGGUUCUUGUGCAUGAUGAUAGAAAAUUUAACCAACAUUGGGCCAUAUAUAGCUGAUAUUUUUGAGAAUCUGGGUGCAAAAGAAUAAAAAACUAUAAAUUCUCUCUUUAGGCAAAUAUUUGUAUUGCUGACAUAAUUCAUGGUUCCUUGCACUACCUGUAGAAAGCUGUUGGCUACUUGGAUUAUCUUACACAAGUAGCUUUAGUUGUUCCUUCUAUUUUCAUUCUUCAUCUUCUUUCUAUCCGAGCAGAAAAGUCUCUGUCAUGAAAGAUUGAGAAAAGGAGCAGAGAAGGGGGGAGG
rnacentral:lncRNA from 1 species